UACAGAGGGUGCGAGCGUUAAUCGGAAUUACUGGGCGUAAAGGGCGCGUAGGUGGUCUGUUAAGAUUGAUGUGAAAUCCCCGGGCUCAACCCGGGAACUGCGUCCGAUACUGGUGGGCUUGAAUCCGGGAGAGGGAUGUGGAAUUCCAGGUGUAGCGGUGAAAUGCGUAGAUAUCUGGAGGAACACCGGUGGCGAAGGCGGCAUCCUGGACCAAUAUUGACGCUGAGGAGCGAAAGCCAGGGGAGCAAACGGG
rnacentral:rRNA from 1 species